rnacentral:rRNA from 1 species
AGACAUACAGGUCGAGCAAGGAUGAAAAUCGGACUUAGUGAUCCGGUGGUUCUGCGUGGAAGGGCCAUCGCUCAACGGAUAAAAGCGACCCGGGGGAUAACAGGCGUGUCUCCCCGAAGAGUCCAGUGCGACGGGGAGGUUUGGCACCUCGAUGUCGGCUCAUCACAUCCUGGGGCUGUAGUAGGUCCCAAGGGUUGGGCUGUUCGCCCAUUAAAGUGGUACGCGAGCUGGGU